GCCUAAUACUGCAAGUCGAACGGAGUAGCAAUACUUAGUGGCAGACGGGUGAGUAACAUGUGGGUAUCUUCCCUUUGGUGAGGAAUAACACGAGGAAACUUGUGCUAAUACCUCAUAAGUCUUUACGGAGAAAGCUUUAUGCGCCAAUGGAUGAGCCUGCACUUGAUUAGUUUGUUGGUAGGGUAAUGGCCUACCAAGACUGUGAUCAAUAGCUGAUUUGAGAGGAUGAUCAGCCACAUUGGGACUGAGACACGGCCCAAACUCCUACGGGAGGCAGCAGUAGGGAAUCUUGCACAAUGGAGGAAACUCUGAUGCAGCGAUGCCGCGUGAGUGAAGAAGGCCCUUGGGUUGUAAAGCUCUUUCGUCGGGGAAGAAAAUGACUGUACCCGAAUAAGAAGGUCCGGCUAACUUCGUGCCAGCAGCCGCGGUAAUACGAAGGGACCUAGCGUAGUUCGGAAUUACUGGGCUUAAAGAGUUCGUAGGUGGUUAAAAAAGUUGGUGGUGAAAGCCCAGAGCUUAACUCUGGAACUGCCAUCAAAACUUUUUAGCUAGAGUUUGAUAGAGGAAAGCAGAAUUUCUAGUGUAGAGGUGAAAUUCGUAGAUAUUAGAAAGAAUACCAAUUGCGAAGGCAGCUUUCUGGAUCAUUACUGACACUGAGGAACGAAAGCAUGGGUAGCGAAGAGGAUUAGAUACCCUCGUAGUCCAUGCCGUAAACGAUGUGUGUUAGAUGUUGGAAAUUUAUUUUCAGUAUC
rnacentral:rRNA from 1 species